rnacentral:rRNA from 1 species
UCCUACGGGACGCAGCAGGGAAUAUUGCACAAUGGGGGAAACCCUGAUGCAGCGACGCCGCGUGAGUGAAGAAGUAUUUCGGUAUGUAAAGCUCUAUCAGCAGGGAAGAUAAUGACGGUACCUGACUAAGAAGCCCCGGCUAACUACGUGCCAGCAGCCGCGGUAAUACGUAGGGGGCAAGCGUUAUCCGGAUUUACUGGGUGUAAAGGGUGCGUAGGCGGCGCGGCAAGUCUGAAGUGAAAGGCAGGGGCUUAACCCCUGAACUGCUUUGGAAACUGGCCGGCUGGAGUGCUGGAGAGGCAGGG